rnacentral:rRNA from 1 species
UACGGAGGGUGCAAGCGUUAUCCGGAUUCACUGGGUUUAAAGGGUCCGUAGGCGGUUUUGUAAGUCAGUGGUGAAAGCCCAUCGCUCAACGGUGGAACGGCCAUUGAUACUGCAAGACUUGAAUUACUAGGAAGUAACUAGAAUAUGUAGUGUAGCGGUGAAAUGCUUAGAUAUUACAUGGAAUACCAAUUGCGAAGGCAGGUUACUACUAGUGGAUUGACGCUGAUGGACGAAAGCGUGGGGAGCGAACAGG